GCGAGUCAUUGUAGCAUACAAGGCGGACGGCUCAGUAACACGUAGUCAACCUCACUCGUGGACGUGGAUAACCUCGGGAAACUGAGAAUAAACCACGAUAGAUCAUAGUGCCUGGAAUGGCUUAUGGUCCAAACAGUUUACUGCCAUGGGAUGGGACUGCGGCCUAUCAGCUUGUUGGUGAGGUAAUGGCCCACCAAGGCGAUUACGGGUACGGGCUCUGAGAGGAGAAGCCCGGAGAUGGGUACUGAGACACGGACCCAGGCCCUAUGGGGCGCAGCAGGCGAGAAACCUUAGCAAUGUGCGAAAGCACGACUGGGUCAGUCCGAGUGAUUCCUGAUAAAGGAGUCUUUUGCUUGUCCUAAAAGCACAGGUGAAUAAGGGGUGGGCAAGUCUGGUGUCAGCCGCCGCGGUAAUACCAGCACCUCGAGUGGUCAGGACGUUUAUUGGGCCUAAAGCAUCCGUAGCCGGCUCUGCAAGUCUUCGGUUAAAUCCACCUGCUCAACAGAUGGGCUGCUGGAGAUACUACAGAGCUAGGGAGUGGGAGAGGCAGACGGUAUUCAGUGGGUAGGGGUAAAAUCCUCUGAUCCAUUGAGGACCACCAGUGGCGAAGGCGGUCUGCCAGAACACGUUCGACGGUGAGGGAUGAAAGCUGGGGGAGCAAACCGGAUUAGAUACUCGGGUAGUCCCAGCUGUAA
rnacentral:rRNA from 1 species